UUGAAGUAUAUUUUUUUCGGAAAUUUAAUCUCUUUACAGAUGGUCCGAAGAAUAUAACUAAAUCCACAGCCGCCUUAUGACGGACUAAGUGUUCAUGACGGGGAAACAUUUGGUCCAUACACAUGUUCAGUUGACUGUAACCCACCUUGUACCGUGCAGUGGAAACUGAAGGAUCCCUCAGGGAGUUUCAGAGACGCUACAUCCAUUGGAAUGUCCUCAGUUACUGUACCAGUGCUAUCAGCGAAUAAGACUAAUAUGGCAUCAAUUCGGUGUAUAGUGAGCGGUACUGAAGGCAAACAAACAUCAGUCAUAAAUCUUAACAUUCUAUAUUUAGUGGAUCCGAGGGUAUAUAUCAAUGGUAAAGCUAGCGAUGCAUUAACCAUUAAUGAAUCAAAUCAAGUUGUCCUGUCGUGUUAUGUCGAUGGAAAUCCAAUUCCAGAAGUCACUUUUCGAAAACUCACCGGGAACCAGAUCUAUAUACAGAAUGCAACUCGUUGGCUAAACUACACAUUGAUCAGAAGGACCCAGUGUUCUGACACGGGUACUUUACAAUGUGUCGGACAAUCAACUGAGUUUGGGAGAAGGAAUCAGUCCUUCAGUAUUAACGUUCUCUGUGAACCUCGCCUCGAUGAAGGUACUUUGGUGAAAAACAUCUAUGAAUCAAGAAGUGGCCCGGAUGUUAAAGUUGUUGUAAGUUUACCAGUUGUUGCGAAUCCCCUUACAUCUACAUCAGGGUUCGUUUGGUUAGGACCCACAUUUGCGUCAAUUUCAAUGUAAGUUUCACAAAGAGAUAACGUUGUCUACAAACACUGGAUCAACAGCUCCAUCCCCGUUCCUGAUCAGAAAUCUUUUGGAACCUACUCGCUGAAAUACAAAGGAAAAGUCUUCGCUGAUAUACAAAUUCACGCAAAAGUUGUAAGUGCAGUUUCCAUAGAGGCCUCUGAUCAAACUGCCUGGGUGGUUAUUGGAAUACUCAUUGGUUUUUUCGUUUUGUUGCUGACGGACUUUGGAGUUUAUAAGUUCACUUUUCGUCGAGGUAUUAGAACAGGAUCGAUUCAACAACCUCAACCAGCUCACGAUCUCAGGAUCCAGAACAAAGAAUAUGAUGACAUUGAUGACGUUACUGUAGAAGCACAAGAUCAAAGUCCUAACACUCAGACAUACGAGGACGUAACAGAGAACACAGAACAAAUACAACCACUGACAGAUUAUCAGAAUAUCAAUGGACAUCAGGAUAACCAAUAUGAAGAGUUAAAGCCUGAUCAACAUAGACUUUACUCGCCUCUAAAGGUUCAGUGAACCUACGUAUAAAGAGAGGUAGAACUUUUUUGUAUGGAGAACUUUCAUUUUUUCUCACAAAUGUAUGAUAAGAUAUUUGAUUAGUUUUGAAAGACAAGGCACGACACUAUUUGCUUUUAACUUAAACAAUAGAUUUGUUUGAAAAAAAAAUAUCAGAGAAAAAAGAGAGAGGAUGAAAUGAAUACAAAGGUAAUACAAUAUCCUUUGUGCUAUUUAAAUAUUGUUGAGCUGAUAACAACCUUUGAUUUUUGACUUGAGAAAUUCUUUUAAUUUCUUUAAUUUUUUUUACACGCUCAGAUGUUAUCAGAGGAAAACAUAAAUGCGUUACAGUUUUGUAAAUAAAAAUCCAUAUCUUUCAUGUUUAUAAUGUGUGUUUUUCUUUACAUUUUUAUAUAAGAAAGUAGCCAAGUUUUAUUCACAGAUUUUUAUUGUUUAUUACUCAUUGGAUGUGCUGUUACAUUGGAAUAAGUUGAUAAUUUGUUGUAUGUAUGUUUGUGUAAAUAUGUAUGUAUAAGGGAGUUUUUCUGUAUCGAGUGGUAUUGGAUAAUUUUUUCCACAACCGUCGCCCACUUUGAUAUUUAGAUAUAUGUUGUGCAUAUUACAUUGGAAAAUCACGUAUCUCAACAUAAAUCCAUUGAAAAUUGGUGUCUUUUGCAACAUUUUAAGAAAAUAAUGGAUAAUGCACAUGUUAAUGACGUCACAAUUACAUGUAGCUUUUUAACAUGCAUGUAAGAACAAUGAUUUGUAUAAUUUUAAUGCAUGGAAUUUCAAUAAUUCAGAAUACAUGAGUUUUCAUUUUUUACAUUAGUUUCAUUUUUUAGAAAAUCAAAGGGAAACUUUGUAUUGAAACUGUACCUUCUUCUUUGUACUUUUAAAAUAAAACUAAUAUUUUCCUUGUUUACUGAGAGGGCCUUAUCUAAACGUUGAUUGUAGUUAUCUCCUCUAACACGUGUAAGCUUAGACAAAAAUUUCAAGGAGAAAAGGAAAAUGACGGAUUUCCUUCGCAUUUAUACCGAUUUAUAAUUUUACAGACAUUUUAUUUUAUCAUUCAGGCAGCUAAAAAGUUAAAUAUCGCUUACUUUGAUAAAAACAUCAACAUUUUAAACCUUUUAUACAUCAACUUGGAACUUAUAA